GGGAAGAAGAUUGAAGGGGAACCACACUCCAAAUUCUUCAGAAGUUCAGCAGCCUCUAUAGUUGGUCCAGAGUUUGGGACACUGGGGUAGAUGAGCUCUCGGCAAACCCAGGAAGACCUCGUUCUCAGAGAUACUCAUGUCCAGUGGAUGAAAUCUCAGCUGGUGACGCAGAAGUAGAAGUCUCAAGAUAUUACAGUGUCUGAGAGGAUGAAGAAAGUAUAGUGAAUUUGGUAACCACCUUGGACUCAGCAGUGCCUGGGACCUCACCACAGGAGCUAAGCACUGGGAGGCACCUCCUGGCCAGAUGGAGCCUGGAGGAUUGGCUUCUGAACCCCCAGUUACAAAGGAUAAGGACCACAACCACAUCUACCAGUUGAAAGGUUCAGACCAAGGUUGACAAAGCCAGGGUGGGCAGUGGGUCCAAGCUAAGGUCCUGGGCUAGGAAGCAUCACUGCAGGCUAAAUUGGCCACAGGAACACUGGGCACAGAAAUGUGAGGCAACAGGCACCACAGCUGGAGGUCAUAGGCUGAGUGGGUCAUGGCCCUGGUGACACAGGUGGUGCCUCAGUCCAGAGAGCCCUCUCAGGCACUUGGAUCUUCUACGAGGUGGGCAUCUCCAGGCUGGCUUGUGCCCUGGAUUCCAUGGGGUCUGCAACUAAUCCCUCUUGCCUGGGUUUCCACAGCUCAUUGCACUUGGGUUACAGGAUGCCCAUGACAGCAUCCAGGGAAGAGAUCACAAUGGCUUCCUCACCACUGCACUGAGGCCACUUUGCUUAUCACAUGGUGGCAAAAUUCAUGGCCUCCUUGAAAUUGAAGCCAUGGCUGAAGUCAGCAUGGUGGCCAUAGGGAAGCCAUUUAGAUAUUUAGCCCCCUCCUUGAGUUUUCCCUGCAUUCAGCCUUAUCAACUACAACUACAACAAAAUAAAUUUUGUCUCUUCCCUUCCAUUAAUUAUAGCUCUAAAAAUUUUUGCAGUGGUUAACAGCACUAAUUCCAUAAAUUAUUGACUGAAAUGCCUCAAAUACCUCACAUUAAGGAAAAUGCUGGCUUGGGUCUAAAAUAGCUAACUAGUAGAUAGAGAAUUUUUGAAUUUUAUUUUAAGGAAGGAUUCAUUGCUUCCUUGUGGGUGUGUGUAAAACAAGACUGUUGAAUUAUAUCAAAUGCCUAUCAACAUCUAUAAACAUGAUCAUAUGACUUUUCUUCUGGUUGUAUUUACAGGAUAAAUUAUAUUCCUAGAUUUCCUUCUUUAACCCAUCACUGCCUUCCUGCAAUAAACCCCAUGUAGUCAUUGUAUGUCAUUCUUUUAAUUUAUUUAGAUUCUCUUAGCUAAUAUUUAAGUUAAAAUUUUUACGAUGUUCAUCAAUAAGUUUUGUCCAUCAUUUUCUCUCAUUCUGCAAUUCAUCAGGAUUUUCUGUCAAUGAUGUGCUUAUUUUAAAGCUUGAAUUUUUUCUCAUUUUAAAGGCCUAUUUAUACUUGAAAUAAAAUUUUCACACAAUUCCUCUGUGAAAUUGUCUAAUCCUUGGCAUUUUUGAAGAGUCAGAUCUUCCGCCCUCUUUCUGUAUUUCAUACACAGAAAUUUAUGUCUUAAACUUUCUAUGUAGUAAGUUAAUUUUUCUAAAAACAUACAUAUCAUUGGAGCUUUAUGUUGAUUUAUUAUUUUAGUUAUUCUGACUCAUUUUCUAUGUAUAUGCAUAUCAAUUCCUUCUUGCUACUUUCAUAUAAUUGAUCUUUUCCUAACUUGUAAAUCAGAAGCUUAAUCCAGUUAAUUUUAUUAUUUGAAUGUGAUGAAGAAAAUAAUUAAGGCUGCAAGUUUUCCCCUCAGCACUGUUCUAAAUGAAUUUCAUAUAUUCCUUUUUGUAUGUUAUUAAGUUUUAAAUUUAAAAACACUCCAGUAAAUGCUUAUUGUAUUCCAGGCAUUGGCAUUAACAAAUUACUAUAUUCACUCAUAGAACUGUCAACUAAACACAUGAGGUAGGUGCUAUCUCCAUUUUACAUUGAGGAAACUGAGUCAUUAAGUAAUUUUCAAGGUCACACUAGCUGGUAAGAGAAGCUGGAAUUCAAAAUCAGACUAUCUUGCUCUACAGUUCAUAUUCUUAAUAGAUAUUUAUUGUUUUGUGGAAAUUUGGCUUUUAUGAUUUGUGCUUCCCUCAAAUCUGAGAUCCAUUCAAUAAAAAAAUUUAACCUACCAGGAAAAGGACCUGUACAUUUUCUGACUUUCAAAAAUAUUUCAAAUUUUAUUGCAUGAUAAUUCAGAAUGUUUGAAUUUUUUUCAUUUUGUUUAAAGAAGAUAUUGAUAUUUUCUAUUCACACUGAUAUAUUGUCAAAUUUUGUGAUUGAUUCUUUGGCAGGAUAGGUUGUCAAGGACCUGACAUAUACUUGGGAUGCAGUGACCGUGGUGACCAUAGAGCCAAUACAAUAAGCCUUAGCAGUCAUAUUGUAACCGAGCUCACUCAAGCAAAGCUAUCUUUAGUAGGGACUUUCCCUUCCAGAGAGCAUGCACAUUUUGAUUUUACCUGUCCUCAAACUGAUCUUUUGCUC
rnacentral:lncRNA from 1 species